rnacentral:misc_RNA from 1 species
AAGUCGUAACAAGGUCUCCAUUGGUAAACUAGUGGAGGGAUUAUUACAAAGUUGCAAAACUCCCUAAACCAUUGUGAACGUUACCUAAACCGUUGCUUCGGCGGGCGGCCCCGGGGUUCUCCCCAGGCGCCCCUGGGCCCUAUCGCGGGCGCUUACCGGAGGUUACCAAACUCUUGAUAAUUUAUGGCCUCUCUGAGUCUUCUGUACUGAAUAAGUUAAAACUUUCAACAACGGAUCUCUUGGUUCUA